GGUACGCGCUCGAUGUGAACAUGGAGAGGGCCGAGGACGUGGUGACGCACCAGCCGCUGCUCGAGGUCGAGAAAGGUGAAGAAUAAGUAUGUCUUGAAGAAGAUCCAACUAGCGCGCCGUUGAUCAUCACACCAAGAGGUCUCCUGAACAACCUAUGUUCCCUCUGUGUCAUGGGGCAUAUCAGUAUUUAGCUAGAAUUUUUGCUAAAAGAUGGUUUAACCUUUCGACGAGCAUGCAAAAUUCAUGACUUUGUUCAUACGGAUGGAGCUCAUUGCAAAAGUAAGGUGCCCUUACAUUGUGGAAUAUGUAUUGGAGAAGGUGAGUAUGGUCCUCGCUUCUUCUAUAUGUGCAUAUUGGCAGGGUCUAGAGAGCUAUCUUUGCUCUUGUGCCCUCCCUUCAUGUUUCACUGAUUCAGUUGAAAUAUUUGUAUGAUCCUGAAUGAAUUCUUUUGUUGUUGUUAUCAGGGUUGCUAUUUGUGCUUUGUGAUCGGCUAAUGCAGGGGAGGAGACAUCUAUGUAACUUGUGAAGUAAACUCUCAAUUGUAUUUGAACCUGCAACGAAAUUAUGGUUAUUUUCCAUUGUACAGGUUAGAGGCCAUAAAAGGUUUAACACCAAGUACUUCUUGGAAGAGGUGGUUAAUUCGUCUGUAACAUGUGAUGUUCAGUAGCUGGAGUUUCAUUAUUGAAUUUUUUUACUCCUUGUUGUGUUCAUUUUAUGCAAAGAAACUCUGUGUAUGACUUGUGCAGCUCCUGAUAGCACUUGACUACUUCCAUGCUAAUCAUGUCCUUCAUCGCUAUGUGAAGGUUGCUAUACCCAUAACCUUUAUUUAUUUCCUACUGAAAAAACAGUUUAGCACCAUGUAUUGUAUUGUUUUUCAGUGUUUCAAUAUAUUUCUUACAAAUGACAAAAAUAUACGGCUCAUCGAUGAGAGAAAAAUACCUGGACUAUGAAGUACUUAAAAUUGCUGAUGACAAUAUCUUAUGUUCAGAAUUUGUUGUUUGAAACAGAUGAUUUUGGACUGGUUAAACAAAGCACUGUGUUUCUUUCUGAAGCUUGUAGGAAGUCCCAUUUACAUCAUUACAUCUUGAACUUCUUGCGGAUAUUUCAUAUGGUUCCAAGUCCAGAAUAUGGUCCCUAGGCUACUGGAUCUAUGAGCUGGCUGCACUGAAGCAUUCAUUCAAAGUAUUUAUCAUCGUUGGUGUCGUGACGUUGAAGUUAUCAGUAAGUAAUUGUUGAGGUAUGCUCUUGUUUUCUUGGGUCCAUUUGCCUGGGCAUUGACGGUUUGCUUGAACAAUGAUCUGCUCUUUGCCUGCAUGCGUGCGCAUCCUACCUGUUAAGUCAGCACUUUCUCCAUGUAGUUGAUUUUCAGUCUUGUUAAAAUAGUUCACCUUUUGCCAUCUAGAGAUGACGCUAUUUGUAGUGACACGUAAUUUGUUUCUGACCAACUAACUUGAUUUUCCCCAGUUUCAGUUUUGCGGCUCCUUCAAAGCAAAUGUGCUGUAAGAAUUACUUAUGUAAGCUCGUUUAGUUUCUGGUGCUUGUAAUACUUCGGUCAUCUACAUUAUUGCUGCCAUUUAUUUAAAUUUCUGCGGUGGGGCCAUUGGCAUUAUUUACUUAAUCUAGGAGGCUAAUCUAACUUUGUAAUCAGUUGUCUUUGUGCAGGCUAGCAAACCUGCAUUGAAUGGCUACGAUCAUACAAUAUAUUCUAAGUUUAAUUCUCACUUUCUCAAAAGCAAUCGCAAAAGUAAGAAGGUUGUAUCAGAAUUCAGAAGUACUGCUAUCCAUGUGCAAGACAUGCAUUAUCACUGCUAUGAGGAGCUUAUGAAAGCCUUAUUUGAUUAGGAUUACAACAGAAAGAUAUGUAUAUAUGCAAGACAACAUUAGUUCAAAACUCAGUACAACUAUCCUUCUGAAUUUCUUGUAUGCAAGCUUUAUUUUCUA